GAAGUGGUAGUUCAGUUGGUUAGAAUACCGGAAUACCGGCUGUCACGCCGGGGGGGCGCGGGUUCGAGUCCCGUCCACUCCGCUA
rnacentral:tRNA from 1 species